rfam:Aneurinibacillus migulanus strain DSM 2895 super7, whole genome shotgun sequence.
AUAAUACUGAUAUUAAUCGUUCGUAUAUCCUCGAUAAUAUGGUUUGAGGGUCUCUACAAGGGAACCAUAAAUUCCUGACUACGGAUGGGUGUUUGCUAUGC